AGAGAGACGAUGAAAUAGAGAGAGGAUGAGGCCUGGGACACGGAGAAAGAAACAGAGAAAGAGGCAGAACGGUUAACACUGCAUCGAUUGGGCACCAUACAUUGCUUUUUUUCCAUUUUUUAGAUUUGGGCUUUUGAAGGACUUGAUUUUGGUUUAGGGUUACGUUUUUGGUCCAGCACCACCCAUCUUCGGCUCCAUUCAAUCACAGCCUCAACGGUGACUUUGAUUCCCAGUUCGUUCUCUGGCCGAGUUCGUCUCUGCAACAGCAUAUUUUGAAGAAAGAUCCGUGAGGAAGAAGCUUAACUAAAGGAUUGAGCUCUUUCAUGUCACAUGCAAUCACAGCGUAGACCCAUGUAUCUAUGUGGAUUGGAUCAAAGUGCCAGUGGAGGUGAAACUUUUGUAGUGGAUUCGAAUUGCAAAGAGCCCAAGUGUAGGCAUAAUGGCUAUAAAACUGUGUUAUUAAAACUUUUGGUUUGGUAUUGCUUUACAAGUGUAAUCUGUGUAGGACAGUCAAGCUCCUUUGUUUGACUUGCUCUUCCUUUACAUUUAAAAAGGUACUACUGAUGCUGUAAUACUCUAUGCCUCUUUUAUGCAGCUUAGGUCGUAUGCAAGGUUUGUUGCAAGAGGAUAUAUUAGUUCCUAAAGCUAGCAAAAGUGCUUUUGGCUUUCAGUAAAUUUCUGUUGUAUCUAUAGCAAUUCAAUAUCUUAAAUUUUGCCUUUAAAAACCAGGCUUUUCCAAGUGGCGCAUAAAAUUGAAAGACUUGCUACAUUCUUUUAGCCAAUUUUCAAUUCUCCUUCCACCUCCGCAGAAGUUGCCAAAGUACAAGCAGGGUUGGAAUGUCUCUUUGAGGCAUUUUGAUGGGAAGUCAGUAAUCAGUUUUUCAUGGCCUUACUUGGAUGUUUUCUAAUGACUCAUUGUAAUGUACACAUUUUGAUUACUUAAAAAUUUUCUUGCGAAAGCUGAAUUGGAUCUGCCGUUAACUCUUUUUUUAUCAAGCUUGGUGCAUCGCAAAGAGGUCCCCCUCUUCUCAACAAUGUUCAACUCUCUAUGCAUAGUCAAUGGAACAAUUUGCCUUUUAUGUAAUUAAAAAAAAAAAAAAAAGUGUUUGGCUUCAGCUUUGCUAAGUUUUUUGAGAAAGAGCUUUGCUAAGUUGAUAGGUUAUUUUUCUAAAAUCAUUGGUUUAUAUGUUCUGCUUUGGGUGAAAGCCAUAGACCUUGAAAAGAUAGACAGUUCCAAAGCUACUGCAUGAACCUUCGGAGAACAGGAGUAGUAAAGUUGAUUUGGAAGAACAAUGACUUUCUUAGAAUCAAUCAAUGCCCAUGUAACUAAAGUUCAAUUGGCAAUGAGUAAAAAGUAUUAAUUUUUCUGCUCAUAAGAAGUCACUUUUUUU